GAUUAACGCUGGCGGCGUGCAUAACACAUGCAAGUCGAACGAUGAAACUUAACUGAUUUCUUCGGAAUGAUUUUAAGUGGAUUAGUGGCGGACGGGUGAGUAACGCGUGAGUAACCUGCCUUGGAGAAGGGGAUAGCCUUUGGAAACGAAGAAUAAUACCCUAUGAUAUGAUAAUAUCUCAUGAUAUUAUCAUCAAAGAUUUAUCGCUCUAAGAUGGACUUGCGUCUGAUUAGUUAGUUGGUGAGGUAACAGCUCACCAAGGCAGCGAUCAGUAGCCGGCUUGAGAGAGUGUACGGCCACAUUGGGACUGAGACACGGCCCAGACUCCUACGGGAGGCAGCAGUGGGGAAUGUUGCACAAUGGGGGAAACCCUGAUGCAGCGACGCCGCGUGAUUUAGAAGGCCUUCGGGUUGUAAAAAUCUUUUGUAUGGGAAGAAAAUGACAGUACCAUACGAAUAAGGACCGGCUAAUUACGUG
rnacentral:rRNA from 1 species